rnacentral:rRNA from 1 species
ACGUACACUCCUACGGGAGGCAGCAGUGGGGAAUAUUGCACAAUGGGCGCAAGCCUGAUGCAGCCAUGCCGCGUGUAUGAAGAAGGCCUUCGGGUUGUAAAGUACUUUCAGCGGGGAGGAAGGCAAUACGGUUAAUAACCGUGUUGAUUGACGUUACCCGCAGAAGAAGCACCGGCUAACUCCGUGCCAGCAGCCGCGGUAAUACGGAGGGUGCAAGCGUUAAUCGGAAUUACUGGGCGUAAAGCGCACGCAGGCGGUCUGUCAAGUCGGAUGUGAAAUCCCCGGGCUCAACCUGGGAACUGCAUUCGAAACUGGCAGGCUUGAGUCUUGUAGAGGGGGGUAGAAUUCCAGGUGUAGCGGUGAAAUGCGUAGAGAUCUGGAGGAAUACCGGUGGCGAAGGCGGCCCCCUGGACAAAGACUGACGCUCAGGUGCGAAAGCGUGGGGAGCAAACAGGAUUAGAUACCCGAGUAGUCCCAUG